GACGAACGCUGGCGGCGUGCUUAACACAUGCAAGUCGAGCGGUAAGGCCCUUUCGGGGGUACACGAGCGGCGAACGGGUGAGUAACACGUGGGUGACCUGCCCUCAGCUCUGGGAUAAGCCCGGGAAACUGGGUCUAAUACCGGAUAUGACUUCAUGACGCAUGUUGUGGAGUGGAAAGCCUUGUGCGGCUGAGGAUGGGCCCGCGGCCUAUCAGCUUGUUGGUGGGGUGAUGGCCUACCAAGGCGACGACGGGUAGCCGGCCUGAGAGGGCGACCGGCCACACUGGGACUGAGACACGGCCCAGACUCCUACGGGAGGCAGCAGUGGGGAAUCUUGCGCAAUGGGCGAAAGCCUGACGCAGCGACGCCGCGUGAGGGAUGACGGCCUGGUU
rnacentral:rRNA from 1 species